ACAGAAUGACAACGUGAUGUGCCUUGAAUUCCAAUGAGGAGCAACGGUGUUUUGUUUUGGGGUCUCCCCCCUGCAACACCAAAUAAAGAAUCCACAGUCCACACAAUUGAUAUCUGCAGGUUUGUUCACAGUGGAAAAGCUGGACAAUCCUUUUCAGUGUGUCAAAAAAAAUCUGAAGCAGCCCCCUUAACCCAGAAAAUUGCA